CAUGAAAAGAAAUCCAUCUGCCCUUUAGGGGAAGGAGUAAAAAAUAGAGCUGCAGCUUAAAUCAGACAGAAGAAUGGAUAGAGGUCCUGUGGAAAGACGUAAAAGAUGGAAAGCAGAAACUAAAGUGUUCGCUGGAGCACUGAGGUGAGGAAGCAUUAAAAGUGUGCAAAUAGAAAGAGAGAGAGAGAGCAGCUGACAUUACCCACGGAUAGAGAGAUACAGGAAGAUGGAAGGGAUGGAGGAGAAGUGUGAAAGUCAAAUGUGUGGUAAAAAAAGGGAGGUCAAAAGGCCAUCAGAUACAGACAGAUGAGAGGGCACUGGAAAAAAGCUCAGGGUGACGAGGAAGAGAAUGGACGGAGUGAGCGACAUGGGAGCAAGGAAAGGGGAGACGAGGUGAGAUACGGGUUUGACAUCAUCACCAUCAGCGGGUCUUGUGUUUACCGCUCGACUCGUGUUUACUGAGGAAGUCACGCUGAGAGGACACCUGACUGCAAAUGAGGAAAUCCUGCUGCGGUGUGCACGAGAGACGCGGGCUGUGCUGACAGCUGACUUGAAGAGCCGCGUGAGUGCAGAGCAGAGGAGUGAAAACAAACCGAUUUGUUUCCUUACGGCAGGCCAGUGAGCACGCAGACACAUGCGGACACGCAGGAGGGGCGAGUCACGAGUUCUCGGGGCAGCGACUGAGCCUGAACAUGCUGAACAGAUGGGAAGCGAAGAAACAAGAAGGACAGAGAAAAUCAGAGUGGUUAAGAUCAGGAGGAAAAGGAGCAGUGAUAGAAGGCAGCAGACCAUAAUGAACAGGGACAGAAAAGAAAGCUGCAGCUCGACUGCAGCAUAAAUACAUAGUAAUGUAACAUAAAGCAGAAUUUAAUUAACAUUCAAAUAAUCUUCACUUUAAUAAGGCCUUUAUUACUAUGGGGCCAUUUAAUUUUCACAUGUAAGACACACAUACACGUGUGUGCACACACACACCAGGCUGGUUUCACAGUGCACUGCCACAAAGUAAGAACCGCAGCGUUCAUCAAUAAUGGAAAGCCAGAAUUUGGACGACAUCAGAACAAAUGAAUCAUUCUGGUCCAGAGAACAGAGCAGACAAAUGGUAGCAUUAACACAGUGGCAUGUUUGUGCGUGCGUGUGUACAGAGAAAGGAGACAAAAUGACAAAAACACAUGAUGAAUGAGUAUCAAGCACCUGGCAAGGAAAAAA